UCCGGCGGCGGCGGCGGCGGCGGCGGCGGCGGCCCGAGCUGGUCGCUGCUCCUGAGUCCCGCGCGCCUUGGGUCUGGCCGCUGGCUCCAGCUGUCUUUUCUUGCACCGCUUUGCUCCCUCCGUGCUCCACUCGAACUCUGCAGUCCGGGUACCUGCUCCUCUUGGCCGAGGAGCCGCAGGGCGGCUGGGUUCCCUCUUCGACUUUGCCUGUGCUGGCCCCGCUUGCACCCCGUCCCCCCUCGCCUGGAGCGAGGCGCGCGCCGGUCCUAGUAAUUGGCGCCGCUGCCGCCGCAGAGCCUUCCCGCCGGCGGCCCGAGCGGAGGGCUGGGGUUGGGGAGGCGUGAGCGCGGCUUCCCGGCCCGGGGUCAGUCCCUGCCCGCCCUGCCCCUGUCUCGGCCCGGAGCCCCCGAGCCGCGGCCCCCUCCCAGUGCAGGGGCCGGCGGCCGCGGCAGGGCGGGCGCCGCGCGGAGGCAGGGCGGGCGUAUUCAAUGGAAGUAUGUUACCAGCUGCCGGUACUGCCCCUGGACAGGCCGGUCCCCCAGCACGUCCUCAGCCGCCGAGGAGCCAUCAGCUUCAGCUCCAGCUCCGCGCUCUUCGGCUGCCCCAAUCCCCGGCAGCUCUCUCAGAGGCGUGGAGCGAUUUCCUAUGACAGUUCUGAUCAGACUGCAUUAUACAUUCGUAUGCUAGGAGAUGUACGUGUAAGGAGCCGAGCAGGAUUUGAAUCAGAAAGAAGAGGUUCUCACCCAUAUAUUGAUUUUCGUAUUUUCCACUCUCAAUCUGAAAUUGAAGUGUCUGUCUCUGCAAGGAAUAUCAGAAGGCUACUAAGUUUCCAGCGAUAUCUUAGAUCUUCACGCUUUUUUCGUGGUACUGCGGUUUCAAAUUCCCUAAACAUUUUAGAUGAUGAUUAUAAUGGACAAGCCAAGUGUAUGCUGGAAAAAGUUGGAAAUUGGAAUUUUGAUAUCUUUCUAUUUGAUAGACUAACAAAUGGAAAUAGUCUAGUAAGCUUAACCUUUCAUUUAUUUAGUCUUCAUGGAUUAAUUGAGUACUUCCAUUUAGAUAUGAUGAAACUUCGUAGAUUUUUAGUUAUGAUUCAAGAAGAUUACCACAGUCAAAAUCCUUACCAUAACGCAGUCCACGCUGCGGAUGUUACUCAGGCCAUGCACUGUUACUUAAAGGAACCUAAGCUUGCCAAUUCUGUAACUCCUUGGGAUAUCUUGCUGAGCUUAAUUGCAGCUGCCACUCAUGAUCUGGAUCAUCCAGGUGUUAAUCAACCUUUCCUUAUUAAAACUAACCAUUACUUGGCAACUUUAUACAAGAAUACCUCAGUACUGGAAAAUCACCACUGGAGAUCUGCAGUGGGCUUAUUGAGAGAAUCAGGCUUAUUCUCACAUCUGCCAUUAGAAAGCAGGCAACAAAUGGAGACACAGAUAGGUGCUCUGAUACUAGCCACAGACAUCAGUCGCCAGAAUGAGUAUCUGUCUUUGUUUAGGUCCCAUUUGGAUAGAGGUGAUUUAUGCCUCGAAGACACCAGACAUAGACAUUUGGUUUUACAGAUGGCUUUGAAGUGUGCUGAUAUUUGUAACCCAUGUCGGACGUGGGAAUUAAGCAAGCAGUGGAGUGAAAAAGUAACGGAGGAAUUCUUCCAUCAAGGAGAUAUAGAAAAAAAGUAUCAUUUGGGUGUGAGUCCACUUUGCGAUCGUCACACUGAAUCUAUUGCCAACAUCCAGAUUGGUUUUAUGACUUACCUAGUGGAGCCUUUAUUUACAGAAUGGGCCAGGUUUUCCAAUACAAGGCUAUCCCAGACAAUGCUUGGACAUGUGGGGCUGAAUAAAGCCAGCUGGAAGGGACUGCAGAGAGAACAGUCCAGCAGUGUGGACACUGAUGCUGCAUUUGAGUUGAACUCACAGUUAUUACCUCAGGAAAAUCGGUUAUCAUAACUCCCAGAACCAGUGGGACAAACUGCCUCCUGGAGGUUUUUAGAAAUGUGAAAUGGGGUCUUGAGGCAAAUCUUCCUGGGAAGCCAAAUUAUGACCAGCUGGUGAGCAUGGAUUCUGAGCAAGGGAAGCAAGUUGCCUUGUGCACCCAUGUCCCUUUGGGUGCACAGAAGACCCAUGUCUUCUGUGAUAUUCAUGUUUGUGGACCAGGGUACCCUCUUCCCCUGGAAGGUACUAGAGAUUCUCUGCCAAUAGUUGCUUCUCUACAUCAGCUUCUGAUUGGCACAUGCAUUAAAUAACGUCAUUACCUCAAGCCUUGUUUCAGUUGAGCUCACCUGGGCUCCAUUCUUACUGUAUACAUGAUUGCUUCUGCUCUGAUCCAUUGUUUGUCUUAUAGUUUGAAACUGAAAAGAUCAUCCUAUUUCCACAUUCUCAGGGGAACCGUGGGUGUGGCUCCCAUUUCCUGCUUACACAUAUAAUAAACCUAUUGAAAAGUUGUUUUAUUAUGUAUAUGUGGGAAUCACCUUCUAUAGCCCUACAUUUUUUUUUUUUUUUUUUUUUUUUUUGAGACAGGGUCUCGCUGCUAACUAGGCUGGAGUGCAGUGGCAUGAUCACUGCAGCCUCCACCUCCUGGGCUCAAGCGAUCCUCCCACCUCAGCCUCCUGAGUGCCACCACACCGCCCAGCUAAUUUUUUUUUUUUUUUUUUUUUUUUUUUGAGACGGGGUCUCGCUCUGUCGCCCAGGCUGGAGUGCAGUGCCAUGGUGAUCUUGGCUCACUGCAAGCUCUGCCUCCCAGGUUCACGCCGUUCUCCUGCCUCAGUCUCCCGAGUCCCUGGGACUACAGGCACCCACCACCACGCCCUGCUAAUUUUUUUGUACUUUUAGUAGAGUUAGGGUUUCACCACGUUAGCCAGGAUGGUCUCAAUCUCCUGACCUCGUGAUCUGCCCACCUCGGCCUCCCAUAGUGCUGGGAUUACAGGUGUGAGCCACCGUGCCCAGCCAGCUAAUUUUUUAAAAACAUUUUUGUGGCCGGGCACAGUGGCUCACACCUGUAAUCCCAGCGCUUUGGGAGGCUGAGGUCGGUGGAUCACCUGGGGUCAGGAGUUCGAGACCAGUCUGGCCAACAUGGUGAAACCCCGUCUCUACUAAAAAUACAAAAACUAGCUGGGUGUGGUGGCGCAUUCCUGUAAUCCCAGCUACUCGGGAGGCUGAGGCAGGAGAAUCGUUUGAACCCAGGUGGCAGAGGUUGCAAGGAGCAGAGAUUGUGCUACUGCACUCCAGCCUAGGCGACAGAGAAAGACUCCAUCUCAAAAAACACUUUUUUGUAGAGACAGGGUCUCACUUUGUUGGCUUGGCUGGUCUUGAACUCUUGGGCUCAAGCAGUCCUGCCACCGUGGCCUCCCAAAGUGCUGGGAUUACAGGUGUGAGACACUGCAUCAGGCCUAUAGCUCUACUUCUUAAAUAGGACCUAUAUUACUGGAAUUUUUUUUUCUAGAAAAAUUUUAGGCAACAGUUAAAUAUUUAAAAGAUUACUUUUUUUUUUAAAGUAAGUAAACAGAACAGAAUGCAAAAUGUAUUUUACAUGGGAGACUAAAAACACACACAUGGCCACCCUUCAGGCCUCUUGGCUUAACAUUUCAGGGGCUGAGGGAGUCUCUGCUCUAGGAGUAAAAGGUCCUUGGAGAGAAAAUUUUGACAAGUCCUAACUUUAAAAAAGAAAAACAAAUUGGUUCCUGGUCAAUAUUUGUACUCACUUUAAAUGUGAUGGUUUGUAAUGAUACUCUUUGUAUAAAAGUAAAAAUCAUAUUUUAUGUCCUUUGCAAAUAAGUAUAUUUGUACCUGAGGUACAGAUUAGAGGUGCUAGUAAUUCCUUGAAGAUUCUGAAAAUGAUCUUUUUUUCCAAAAUGCUUUCUUGGUUUUUAUUAAACUUUCUAUUUCCUUCAAAUUCUCACAUCAGGUAUUUCCAGUGUUUUCAAGCAUGUAUAAAUAUUUUAAUGUAUAAAUGUUGUUUAAAAUCCCCUAGAUCGGUAGUAUCUCCUGAUUGAGAAAAUACACAGUGACCAAUAGGUAAUAGGAAUUCAGUAUUGCUUUCAAAGAAAUGUGCAUAUUAAUCACUGUAGCAUUGGCAUACGUUUGAAACACGGAGUAAUAUACGUCUGUGCAAGAAUUAGCAGCUGUUCCUUGCUAAUAAUGACUUAUGUCAUCUGGAAGGCCCCCAAGAGCCCAUGGUCUACAGGUGGAAUGACCACCACUUGGGAGUGAGCUGAUGGAGAGCACCUAGCAGGUAUCCUCCAUCUUCCUGGUUCCUAUGCUCAGCAUAGGGCUGGUGUACAUUGGGCCAUUAAUAAAUGUUUGUUGAACAAAUUAA